rnacentral:snRNA from 1 species
UGCAAAUGCUUCCCGCAGA